rnacentral:lncRNA from 1 species
UUUGGAUGCAUUUGGAUUUCGUUUCCUGUUUUUGUGAACUUUAUAAACUUUACCACAAUGCAAACUGAUUAUUUAAGGAAAUUAUUAUUGGAAACUCCAGAUGUUGCGAGAAAGAUAUUUAUUGAAGCUGAAAAUAAUUGGGGAUUUAGAUCCAUACGCAAUUCAGUCAGAAUUGGAUUUUACAGUAAAGUGCAGACCAUCAAGUUACUAUUAUAGAUAUUUAUACAUAUCUGGUGGAAUCUCGCAGUUGCUACUCUAAGCAGCAGAUGAAAGCAUACAAAAGCCUUCAGGCACAUAAAUAUUUUACAGCUGGAUUUGUUUUGAAUGGAGUAAAAAUUGUUAAUGAUUUCCUGAUUUUCAUAUUAUUGUUGGAAAGGUGAAGCAUUUCCAAAAAUCUAAUGCUAAAUGACUAAAUGCUUGGGUGGGGUGAUAGCCAGUUCUGAUGACAUAGCAAAUGCAGAUUGUAUGUGUAUGGCCGGUAAUAGUGAAGUCUGCAGCAAUCCUAUUUUUAGCUGAGUAUGCCCAGGGCAAUAAAGACGAAGAAGAACCCAAUGCAUGUACAUAUGUUACAGCUACAUGGUUUGGAGAUAGCAACAUAUGCAUUCUCUGAUGAAAAACUAAUGAGUUUUGAAACUGUUCGGUCAGAGUGCUUCUUGUGCUCACUAAACGAACUGAAAUAUAAGAUGGCUUUGGCAUUGUGUUGCAGCGAUAUGAAAAUGGUUAUUCAUUUUUAAUUAUAAUGUACUUCUUCAUCAUGAGUAAUUAUGUAUUGGUCUUUUAAAUGUGUAUUUAUUUUUGUAAUUAGUAUCAACUUGUAAUGAUAAUAUACAUUUAUCGUUUAAGGUAUGACUAUGUUUUGACUCUAAAAUAAAUGAUUUAAAAAUCGAA